CGGGGUGUAGCUCAGUUGGCUAGAGCGUUGCGUUCGGGACGCAAAGGCCGGGGGUUCAAGUCCCCCCACCCCGA
rnacentral:tRNA from 3 species